rnacentral:rRNA from 1 species
UUAAAUUAGUAAGGGCGCAUGGAGGAUGCCUUGGCACUAGAAGCUUAAGAAGGACGUGACAAACAACGAUAUGCUUCGGGGAGCAGUAAGUAUGCUAUGAUCCGGAGAUUUCCGAAUGGGGGAACCCACUAAUGGUAAUGCAUUAGUAUCCUAUAAUGAAUAUAUAGUUAUAGAGAAAGCAACCCGGUGAACUGAAACAUCUAAGUACCCGGAGGAAAAGAAAGAAAAAUCGAUUCCCUGAGUAGUGGCGAGCGAAAGGGGAGUAGCCCAAACCAGCUAGACUGGGGUUGUAGGACCUAGAAUACGGAGUAAAAAAUUCUUAUUAUAGAUGAAAUAUUUGGGAAAGUAUACCAAAGAAGGUGAGAGUCCUGUAAUCGAAAUAAUAAGAACUCCUCUAGGAAUCCUGAGUACGGCGAGGCACGUGGAACCUUGUCGGAAGCAGCGGGGACCAUCCCGCAAGGCUAAAUACUCUCUAGUGACCGAUAGUGAACAAGUACCGUGAGGGAAAGGUGAAAAGAACCCCGGGAGGGGAGUGAAAUAGAAACUGAAACCAUGUGCUUACAAAAAGUCAGAGCUCGUUAAUGAGUGAUGGCGUGCCUUUUGCAGAAUGAACCGGCGAGUUAAUGUUGCAUGCGAGGUUAAGUAGAAAAUACGGAGCCGAAGGGAAACCGAGUCUUAAUAGGGCGAAACAGUAUGUAGUAUUAGACCCGAAACCGAGUGAUCUAGCCAUGAGCAGGUUGAAGUUCUGGUAACACAGAAUGGAGGACCGAACCGACGUACCCGGAAACGUGCGCGGAUGACUUGUGGCUAGCGGUGAAAUUCCAAUCGAACUCGGAUAUAGCUGGUUCUCCCCGAAAUAGGUUUAGGCCUAGCCUUGAGAUAAAGCCACAUGGAGGUAGAGCACUGAAUGUGUGAUGGCACCGUCUAGGUGUACUGAAUGCAAUCAAACUCCGAAUGCCAUGUGAGUAUGCUCAGGAGUCACCGUGCGGGUGAUAACGUCCGUACGGGAAAGGAAAAGAGUCCAAGAUCGUCGAAUAAGGUCCCAAAAUUUGUGCUAAGUGGAAAAGGAUGUGGAGUUGUCAAAACAGCUAGGAGGUUGGCUUAGAAGCAGCCAUCCUUUAAAGAGUGCGUAAUAGCUCACUAGUCGAGUGACACUGCGCCGAAAAUGUACCGGGGCUAAGCACAAUACCGAAGUCACGGAUUCAUGUUAAACAUGAGUGGUAGGGGAGCGUUCCAAGGGCGGAGAAGGUUGACCGUGAGGACAGCUGGAGCGCUUGGAAGUGAGAAUGCCGGUGUGAGUAGCGCAAGCUGGGUGAGAAUCCCGGCCACCGUUUGCCUAAGGGUUCCUGGGGAAGGUUCGUCCUCCCAGGGUUAGUCGGGUCCUAAGACGAGGCUGAAAAGCGUAGCCGAUGGACAACAGGUUGAUAUUCCUGUACUACCUAUAUAACUGAAGGAAUGACGAAGAAGGCUAGUAAGAGCUAGUUAUUGGAUUCUAGUCUAAAUACAAAGGCUGAUUAGUAGGGAAAUCCGUUAAUCGAUAAGGCUGAAGUAUGAUGGUGAAGGAGCUUGCUCCGAAGUCUUAUGACGCCAAGCUUCCAAGAAAAGUUUCUAGGGUUAAUUAUAUAGGUACCCGUACCGAGAACCGACACAGGUGGGCAAGGAGAGUAUCCUAAGGUGAGCGAGAGAACUAUGGUUAAGGAACUCGGCAAAAUGACCCCGUAACUUUGGGAUAAGGGGUGGUCAAGCGAUUGACCCGCAGUAAAGAGGUCCAGGCAACUGUUUACCAAAAACACAGGUUUCUGCCAAGCCGCAAGGCGAAGUAUAGGAGCUGACACCUGCCCGGUGCUGGAAGGUUAAGAGGAUGGCUUAGAAAUGAGGAAACUCGAAUAUUUCGAAGGUCAGAAUUGAAGCCCCAGUGAACGGCGGCCGUAACUAUAACGGUCCUAAGGUAGCGAAAUUCCUUGUCAGGUAAGUUCUG